rnacentral:rRNA from 1 species
AGCAGCCGCGGUAAUUCCAGCUCCAAUAGCGUAUAUUAAAGUUGCUGCAGUUAAAAAGCUCGUAGUUGAAUUUCGGGACCAAUAUGUCGGUCGUGCCUCGGUACGUACUGGCAUCGUUGGUUUCUCCUUUCUGAAGAACCAUGAUGUCAUUUAUUUGGUGUCGUGGGGAAUCAGGACUGUUACUUUAGAAAAAUUAGAGUGUUUAAAGCAGGCUCACGCUUGAAUACAUUAGCAUGGAAUAAUGAAAUAGGACGUUUGAUUCUAUUUUGUUGGUUUCUAGGAUCGACGUAAUGAUUAAUAGGGAUAGUUGGGGGCAUUAGUAUUCAAUUGUCAGAGGUGAAAUUCUUGGAUUUAUUGAAGACUAACUACUGCGAAAGCAUUUGCCAAGGAUGUUUUCAUUAAUCAAGAACGAAAGUUAGGGGAUCGAAGACGAUCAGAUACCGUCGUAGUCUUAACCAUAAACUAUGCCGACU